UAAGGAAUAUUGCGCAAUGGGGGAAACCCUGACGCAGCAACGCCGCGUGGAGGAUGACACUUUUCGGAGCGUAAACUCCUUUUAUCAGGAAAGAAUAAUGACGGUACCUGAUGAAUAAGCACCGGCUAACCCCGUGCCAGCAGCCGCGGUAAUACGGGGGGUGCAAGCGUUACUCGGAAUCACUGGGCGUAAAGGACGCGUAGGCGGAUUAUCAAGUCUUUUGUGAAAUCUAGUGGCUUAACCACUAAACUGCUUAGGAAACUGAUAGUCUAGAGUAGGGGAGAGGUGGAUGGAAUUCUUGGUGUAGGGGUAAAAUCCGUAGAGAUCAAGAAGAAUACCCAUUGCGAAAGCGAUCUGCUGGAACCUAACUGACGCUGAGGCGUGAAAGCGUGGGUAGCAAACAGG
rnacentral:rRNA from 1 species